rnacentral:rRNA from 1 species
AAAGUUACUUCGGUACAUCGGUGACAGGUGAUGCAUGGUUGUCGUCAGCUCGUGUCGUGAGAUGUUGGGUUAAGUCCCGCAACGAGCGCAACCCCUAUUGUUAGUUGCCAUCAUUCAGUUGGGCACUCUAGCGAGACUGCCGGUAAUAAACCGGAGGAAGGUGGGGAUGACGUCAAAUCAUCAUGCCCCUUAUGACCUGGGCUACACACGUGCUACAAUGGUUGGUACAACGAGUUGCGAGUCGGUGACGGCGAGCUAAUCUCUUAAAGCCAAUCUCAGUUCGGAUUGUAGGCUGCAACUCGCCUACAUGAAGUCGGAAUCGCUAGUAAUCGCGGAUCAGCACGCCGCGGUGAAUACGUUCCCGGGCCUU